AGAGGGGAGGGGCAGCAGCUACAGCGUGGGCCCUCUGGGCAACCUUUACCUAGAAGCAUCACCCAGGUUCUACACAUCGUGCUCAAAGGAAAGAAGCUGGCCUUCCAACUUGGCUUGAAGUCUAAGAGACCCAGCCUGGAGAGAAAUUGCAUUAGAGAAUAAUACACCUUAGAUUCCACAGCCUGGAGGGAUGGAGUGGACUAUGGGUGCUGUUUUCCUGAAGUGGUGACUGUUUAGGAGGUUGCACUCCUCCUGACUUUUCUAUUCACCAUGCCCUCAGAAACCUCUUCAUCCUGGAAGAUCACCUAGCCCUGGAAUGUCCACCUUGGAAGUACCUUCUACUCCUCCCGAUACUUGGAUGGAUCCACCUAGAACCUCCAGUUAAGGGUGCCCAGACCAGACAUUUCUUCAUUUCACACUAGACUGCCAUACAGACUUCUCUGUCAUGCCCUGGAGCCAGUUUCCUUUCUCCCCUAUCCCUUUCCCACUUUUUUGCAUGGUCUUCUAAGUUAUUCUUCUCUAACCCCCUACCAUAUUGGAAUGUAAACUCCUUGAGAGUUAUUCUUUUUGUUUCUAUUUGUAUUCUCAGCACUUAGCACAAUGUCUGAAACAAAGUAAGUCCACAGCAAAUACUUGUAUGUUUUACAGUAAGGAAACUGAAUGGAGGAAUGGGUAAGUGACUUGCCCAGGGUCACACUGUAAGUUUCAGAACUGGGACUCGAAAAUACUCAGAUCAUUUGACCCCAAGAUCAGUGCUCUUUCUACUAUACUGUAGUGUAACCAAAAUUCAAGGAUUUACAGUUUUGUGGCUUUUUUUUAACAGCUGAAAAGGGAAAGAUGUUUAUGGAACUCCAACUCCAUGGGACUACUGGAAGAUUGUGUUGACUCUGAAAACUUACUCAUUUUCACUAGCAGUGGAGAUUAAGAACAGUUUGAUGUGACGAAUAUCACCUUUAUUUAAAUUUUCUUUUAUCCCAUUUGGAAGUUAUUUAAGUUCUGGUUAUUUUUUUAAUUGUCGUCUUCCAGCUCUGCUCACUAGGUGGCGACCUUGCUUCAUUAGCAAAACCAAAGGCAGAGACGUUUUAAAAGAAUUUUUCAGGACAAAAUUAAAAAAACAGGCAUUCCUUAUCCAUCAUAUAGAAUUGUGCUGUUGGUCAAAAAGUCAAGUCAGCAAGCAUUUAUUAAUCGCCUACUUACGUGUAAGAAAGAAAGGCAAAACGAUGGUUCCACCAUCACCUAUAAGCUCACAUUCUAAUGGGGGAAACAAUUCGUAAAAAAAUCAUAAAAAGAAGAUAGAGUGUAAAAAGGAGGUAAUCCCAGAGAUAAGGUGCUAGCAGUAGGGGUAGUGGGAAAGGCCUCUUGCAGAAGGUGAGAUUUAAGGUAUCUUUAAAAGGGAGCCAGGAGGUGGAGGUGAGGAAGAACAUUCUAGGCACAAAAGACAGCCGUUGAAAAUGCCUGUAGACAAGAGAUGGAGUGUCAUGGGUGAGAGAGACAAGAAGAAGGCCAGU